UAUAAAGAGAGGUGAACACACCCUGGCGCAGCUUUCAUAGACAUCCACUGCUGUAUCUGACGAAACAUUCCGUCUGGAAGAGAACCAAAGUUUCCAGUCGCCAGAGUAACUUUCCCUUUGCCAACCAUUAUAAGGUGAAGUUUUGAAUAUGUUUCUAGUUGCACGCCUUGCUCUUCAAGUAGCUGCACGUGCAGUAGUACGCUAUGCUCCAAGGAUAGUCGCUUCGCACUUGGGGCUCAUGGCAAUCGAAUACGCGGUUGAAAGAAAAGACGAAGAGGAAAGUGAAGAUGAAUGCAGUGAGGAUAGCAGAAAGAAGAAAGGAAAGAAAGAAAAAAAAAGAAAAGAAACCAAAAUCUUAAUUUAGGAUGAGGAAUCGAGAGAAAGCUUCGAGCUUUGCCUCACUGUAUUUGUUUUCAUUCUCUUCAAGCACACACACACACACACACACACACAUGCACACACACACACAUGCAACACAACACACAUGCACACACACACACAUGCACACACACACACACACACAAACAUACGCAAACACACACACACAGACUUAUUCAGACAUUAUCACAUCGAGCUACACACAUACAGCUUUUUUUUCUUUUUUUUACCUAACCACAGUCUCAAGAACAAAUUAAAU